ensembl:lncRNA
GCAGUGACUACAGUGUUUUUACAGAGGCUGUGACCGGCUCUUAUUAGCAGAGGUGGACAAAGUACAGACAUCCAUCACUUACAGUACAGACACUUGUAUUAAAAAUACUCUGGUAAAGCCAGAAAUGUGAAAAUGUACUCAAAAUACAUAUAAAGGAAAAAGUAGCUCCUUGGAGGAUGUUUCUAUACUAGCUGUGUUUUGGUGGUUUUGCCAAGCUAUUUGAAUCUCAUGGCACAUUCAUAUAACGAUGAAAUAAUAUUACUAUUAGGGAAUAAGGAUUUCCAACUCAAUUCCAAUUCAAAUUCUAAUGGAUUUACACUGCUUGACCAUCUCUUAGGUUUUUUUGUAUUUCUCAACUUAAAUGUUUCAGGUCAUCGAACUGAUUUUAAUAGUUGAGUAAACACAAUGCUUUUUUUUUUUUCUUUUUCUGCCGCCUGUCCCAUUUGGUUCUUUAGCCAUCAGAAUUGUUGUCUGAAGACCAACAAGGAUACCCAAUGGAUUUACUUUGCCAAAUGGAUCAUCGUGGCAUUGCCGUAUUGGUCCAUUUGGUCGAUCUUUGUUUUUAUUAUUUAUUAUAUUUUAUUUUCAGAUGUUACAGACGGGACAGACAUGAGUGAGAGAUAGGAAAGGGAGAAAGAAAGAGGAAGGAAAGGAAAAACAGAAGGGGAGAGGGACAGUGAGAAAGGGGGGGAGAAAAAAAAUAAAAAUCUCCUGGAUCACCUGUUGAGAGAAGAAUAGAAAACAAGCAAAAAAAGACAAAAAAAAAAACCAAAACAAAGCAACAUACUAAACACAACACCAUCGCAUUAAUCUAGCUAAGUGUAAACAGCAGUAAAUACUAAAUAUUCAAUGUUGUUGUGCAGCACGCAGGACAGAUGUGCUUCGAAGUAGCAGCCAAGAAAGGGGGCCCAGGCCCAUCCAGACCGGGGCCCAGUGCAGCAGCGCCCCCCGGCCCCACAGAGCCCGGGACAGUCCACCCAACCCCACCACAGAGAAAACUGCACCCACCCCACCAUCCACUCAUCUUCCAGACUACAUAAGACAGUAAACGCCCAGGCUGAGAUCUUCCUCCACCUCUCCUGUAUCUCCCCCUCCUGCAGAGAGAGUUCCUGAAGAGAGGAAAGCUCCUGCAAGAUGUGAC